UACGGAGGAUGCGAGCGUUAUCCGGAUUUAUUGGGUUUAAAGGGUGCGCAGGCGGCACGGCAAGCCGGCGGUCAAAUCGCGGGGCUCAACCCCGCCCAGCCGUCGGAACUGCCGGGCUAGAGUGGGCGAGAAGUGCGCGGAAUGCGUGGUGUAGCGGUGAAAUGCAUAGAUAUCACGCAGAACUCCGAUUGCGAAAGCGGCUCUCUGGCCUGUAACUGACACUGAGGCUCGAAAGCGUGGGGAGCAAACAGG
rnacentral:rRNA from 1 species